rnacentral:rRNA from 1 species
UACGUAGGGUGCGAGCGUUAAUCGGAAUUACUGGGCGUAAAGCGUGCGCAGGCGGUUCGUUAAGUCAGAUGUGAAAUCCCAGGGCUUAACCUGGGAACUGCGUUUGAAACUGGAAGGCUAGAGUGUGGCAGAGGGGGGUGGAAUUCCACGUGUAGCAGUGAAAUGCGUAGAGAUGUGGAGGAACACCGAUGGCGAAGGCAGCCCCCUGGGCUAACACUGACGCUCAUGCACGAAAGCGUGGGGAGCAAACAGG